rnacentral:rRNA from 1 species
GGAAGUGCGAGGCAAUAACAGGUCUGUGAUGCCCUUAGAUGUCCUGGGCUGCACGCGCGCUACACUGACGAACUCAGCGAGUAUAUCACCUUGGCAGAGAUGUCUGGGUAAUCUUUUAAAAGUUCGUCGUGAUGGGGAUAGAUGAUUGUAAUUAUUCGUCUUGAACGAGGAAUUCCUAGUAAGUGUGAGUCAUCAGCUCGCGCUGAUUACGUCCCUGCCCUUUGUACACACCGCCCGUCGCUCCUACCGAUUGAAUGGUCCGGUGAGAACGUCGGAUUUUGCAUUUGAUACUGGGCAACCAGUAACUUGUGCGAGAGAAGUUGUUCAAACCUUACCAUUUAGAGGAAGGAGAAGUCGUAACAAGGUUUCCGUAGGUGAACCUGCAGAAGGAUCAA